rnacentral:rRNA from 1 species
GAUGAACGCUAGCGGGAGGCUUAACACAUGCAAGUCGAGGGGUAGGGAAGCAAUUCCUGAGACCGGCGGACGGGUGCGUAACGCGUAUGCAACCUGCCUUAUACAGGGGGAUAGCCCAUGGAAACGUGGAUUAACACCCCAUAGGAUUACGGGAUCGCAUGAUUUUGUGAUUAAAACUGAGGUGGUAUAAGAUGGGCAUGCGUCUGAUUAGGUAGUUGGUAGGGUAAUGGCCUACCAAGCCGACGAUCAGUAGGGGUUCUGAGAGGAUUACCCCCAACACGGGUACUGAGACACGGACCAGACUCCUACGGGAGGCAGCAGUGAGGAAUAUUGGUCAAUGGCCGGAAGGCUGAACCAGCCAUCCCGCGUGCAGGAUGACGGCCCUAUGGGUUGUAAACUGCUUUUGUACCUGAAGAAUAGGCCCAACGAGUUGGGAUUUGCCGGUAAGGUAUGAAUAAGCAUCGGCUAACUCCGUGCCAGCAGCCGCCGAAA